CUGGAGUUUCUUAAAUCUGUCUUCCCUCCAGACUGAAAACCUGCUUCCUCUGUAUCUCACGUUACAAUCCUAACUCAUAUGCAAAUCUCUCCAACUGGCAUGAUUUCACCAAGGGCAGUUUGGAAUUGCAGUGACAGAGGAAGUUUGGAUGUGAACACAGUUGUUCAUCUGAGAGGCUCCAUAGAACGAGCAUUUAAAAACUGUUUUUCUCCCCACAAUAGCUCCGUAAAAGAGUUGAUGGCAAAUGCUCUUUUUCCUGAAGUCUAUUUCAGAGGUUCCUGCUGGCCGCAUUCCCAUGGGGUUUCUGGCCUGGGGCUAGAAUUGAUUAUCAGACAUGAAAGGGGCUGGCCCCGUGGCCGAGUGGUUAAGUUCACGCGCUCCGCUGCAGGCAGCCCAGUGUUUCGUUGGUUCAAAUCCUGGGCGCAGACAUGGCACUGCUCAUCAAACCACGCUGAGGCAGCGUCCCACAUGCCACAACUGGAAGGACCCACAGCGAAGAAUAUACAACUAUGUACUGGGGGGCUUUGGGGAGAAAAAGGAAAAAAUAAAAUCUUUAAAAAAAAAUAGACAUGAAAAUUUAUUUUAUAUUUUUAUACAUUGGUCUUCUAUUUUUAUUUUAUGUCCAUUAGUCGUAAGAAACAUGAGCUAGUGAAAUAUAGUAGAAACUUAAAUGUUUGUUGAUUGAAUAAAUGAACCAGAAUUUUAAUAAAUAUUUGUUGGCAG
rnacentral:lncRNA from 1 species